GAUAGAGGCGCGGUGUUCAUCAGUACCGCGCGGCCACAGUCCCCGGGAGGACUGCCGCGCAGAGGAAAGGGAAGACCGCCGAAGGGAACAGACGAACCCGGAGCUGUACCCUGGGACACAGUGAGAAUAUCCUGUGGACUGUCACAACUGUGGAGCGCUAUCA
rnacentral:ncRNA from 1 species